UUUAGUGGUCUCUGGUUUUUCAAGAAAUGAAUUUAAUUCAUACAUCCUAUUUAAUUUCUGUUAUUUUUCUAUUUAUUUUUAUUUGAUGUUAAGAUUAAGGGGGAUUAGCUCCUUAUUUUAUUUUUAUAAUUUUUUGUUAGUAUUUAGUUUUGUGGAUUUUAUGGUGAUUUUCAAUUUGAUUAUGUUAAAAUUUUAUUUGUUCUUUUAUUUAUUUUAUUUUAUUUAAAUUUUUAUUGAAACGUUUGCUUUAGUUUUGGUUGCAUGGUGAUUAUUGUGAAAUUAGUAAAUUUAUUUAUUAUGUUGUAUUAUUGAAUGUUAAUUUCUUUUGAGGAAUUAGGCAAAAUUAUUAUGUUCGCCUGUUUAACAAAAACAUCUUUUCUUGUUAGUUUUUGAAGUAUGGCCUGCCCACUGACUUUGAGUUGAAGGGCCGCGGUAUUUUGACCGUGCAAAGGUAGCAUAAUCAUUAGUUCUUUAAUUGUGAUCUGGUAUGAAUGGCUUGACGAGAUAUAAGCUGUCUUAGAGGUAUUAUUUAUUGAAUUUGGUUUUUGAGUUAAAAUUCUUAAAUGUUUUUAUGGGACGAGAAGACCCUAUAGAGUUUGACAUUUGUUUUGUUUAGUUUUUAUGGUUUGUUUUUAUAUAUAAGCUGGAUUAAUGUUUUGUUGGGGUGAUGGGAGGAAUUUUUUUAACUCCUCUUUACUUUUUUAUAUUUAUUUAUAUUUGUUUGAUCCAUUUAUUUUGAUUAUAAGAUUAAAUUACCUUAGGGAUAACAGCGUUAUCUUCCUUGAGAGUUCUUAUUGGCGGGGGGGUUUGCGACCUCGAUGUUGGAUUAAGGUGAAUUUUUGGUGCAGGAGCUGAAGUUGAUUGGGUCUGUUCGACCUUUAAAAUCUUACAUGAUCUGAGUUCAGACCGGCGUGAGCCAGGUUGGUUUUUAUCUAUAAGUAGAUUUUAUACCUUAGUACGAGAGGACCGGGUAUUUGGAAUAAUUUUGUUUAAUAUGAUUGUCAUUAAUAUUAUUGCUAUUUUGGCAGAUAAGUGCAUUGGAUUUAGAAUCUAUUAAUGUAAAAUUUU
rnacentral:rRNA from 1 species